UACGAAGGGGGCUAGCGUUGUUCGGAAUUACUGGGCGUAAAGGGCGCGUAGGCGGUGUGUCAAGUCAGGCGUGAAAGCCCCGGGCUCAACCUGGGAACCGCGCUUGAGACUGGCACGCUAGAGUUCGGGAGAGGAUGGUGGAAUUCCCAGUGUAGAGGUGAAAUUCGUAGAUAUUGGGAAGAACACCGAUGGCGAAGGCAGCCAUCUGGACCGACACUGACGCUGAGGCGCG
rnacentral:rRNA from 1 species